UAAAAUUGCCUGGCACUAAAAAGAC
rnacentral:piRNA from 1 species